rnacentral:rRNA from 1 species
AUUGAACGCUGGCGGCAGGCUUAACACAUGCAAGUCGAGCGGAGAUGAGGUGCUUGCACCUUAUCUUAGCGGCGGACGGGUGAGUAAUGCUUAGGAAUCUGCCUAUUAGUGGGGGACAACACUCCGAAAGGAAUGCUAAUACCGCAUACGCCCUACGGGGGAAAGCAGGGGAUCUUCGGACCUUGCGCUAAUAGAUGAGCCUAAGUCGGAUUAGCUAGUUGGUGGGGUAAAGGCCUACCAAGGCGACGAUCUGUAGCGGGUCUGAGAGGAUGAUCCGCCACACUGGGACUGAGACACGGCUCAGACUCCUACGGGAGGCAGCAGUGGGGAAAAUUGGACAAUGGGCGGAAGCCUGAUCCAGCCAUGCCGCGUGUGUGAAGAAGGCCUUUUGGUUGUAAAGCACUUUAAGCGAGGAGGAGGCUACCUGGAUUAAUACUCUGGGAUAGUGGACGUUACUCGCAGAGUAAGCACCGGCUAACUCUGUGCCAGCAGCCGCGGUAACAC